rnacentral:lncRNA from 1 species
CUCUGAGAGAAGAGCUGCUGGAGACUCCUGGAUGUCUGGCCCAAAGCUGGAGGCUCUGAAAGGGCUGAGAGAUGAUUUGGAAGAUACCAUUUGACUGCUUUUUACUGACGUGACCAUAUGUCUACCCGGAGAUUGGAGACCUUGGACAGCUGGAGGAUCCAAGAUAACCUCCCUCCUCCUGUCUGGAUUCGCAGAAUAAAACCUUGUCAAAACAACAAAGGAAAAGUGGCCGGACUUCAGUUUAAGAACCCAGACCAAUGAAGACAAGAGAGCUGCUCUUUGUGUGACGCAUUUCCUCACCCAGCCGCAGAUUGCAACAGAGGAGAUGAGAUAAAGAUGAGGAACCUCAACAGAAAGGAUGGAUGUAAACAGUGGGUUUGCUGUGCAGUGACAAGAGCCCAGCUUGGGAAGGGUGUUGAGUGGGGUGAAGAUGUCACAGGAACUCACGAAAGCCAGAGGAGUUCACAGUUCAGAGAAGGUGGGUCUUCUAGCUGCUGAAGGCCACACAGCAACCCUUGUGGACAGUGAGGUCCAUUCUAAGGACCUGUUCGUGAAUCCAACUACUGAAGAGCCUUAACCAGUCUUCCCUCUGGGUUCUUUUCCUUUACAUUCCAUGAGUUGGAGAUGGACCGUCCUAGUGCAGUACUUGGAUGAAUGGCUGGAAUGAAAUGAUGGUGAGUGGCUCUACAUGCAGCUGAGGUAGCCUUAUUUUUCUUUUUCGGGCCACACCUAUGGUGUAUGGAAGUUUCCAGGCUAGGGGUCUAGUCGGAGCUGCCGCUUCCAUCCUAUGCCACAGCCACAGCAAUGUGGGAUCCAAACCGUGUCUUCGACCUCCACCACGGCAGUGCUGGAUCCUUAACACAAUGAGGCCAGGGAUCGAAACCACACCCUCACGGAUAUUAGCUGGGUUCUUUACCACUGAGCCACGACGGCAACUUCCUACACGCAGCUGAGGUUCUGACUGUAAAAAAAGGCUUGGUCAAAAUUGUGAGGAAGAUACUCAUUUUGUCCCACUUCUCCUAGGACUUCCAUCUCCAUCAUUUCCACUUCCAUCUUCCAUUCCCCAUCAGUAUGGCUGUGUUUGUCCAUAUCCUCUUCUCUCCAAAAUGCGUCCUAAUUGGUAGAAUCUCAUGUUCUCUGUAUUUCUCUUCUCACUUUCUUGCCCCUACUGAAGUGUGUUCUACUGUCUUAUUCUCUAUUUUCUGGAGGCUAAGCCUGCUUUCUCUCCAUCCCUCUUUCCAUCCAUUUAUGCUGUCAUCCAUGCAUCUCUCCCAUCCUCCAACAAACCAUCACCCAACCAUUUGGGCAAGCUAAUUUAAAUUACAGUCCUAAUGGCUUUAAAAGUCUUAGCAUUAAGCCUUCCCCAGUUGAGGGGAUUUCUGGCGUGACAUCAGGCGAAUAGGGUAAAUAUUUGGGGAGGAACAUAUGGUGAAUUUAGCUGUCACAUUCUCUACUGAAUCAUAGAGCUAGUUAGCUUAAAUCUGUUAUGUCAGGAGAAAAGCAAAUUUGAAGGUGAUUCUGCUUAGUCCGAAGCCACCUCUGCCUCAUUGUUGUCACUGCAGAAUGUGAAAUCACCCCAUAGCAGAGGCCACAAAGGCCUAUUGCUGGAAGCCCAGGUCUGUGUGCAGCAGGUGAGGAGGCUUCUGCCAACUGCUGGCCCUCGGUCUUCUUGCUGGCCUCUUUGGAGGGUUUCAGUGGUGGGGCUUCUUCUGUGGUCCGGUACUCGGAUUGUGGGUACAAUCUGCCCUGUCAUCACUUUCACUCUGAUUAGCUUCAUUCGGAAGAACUUUUGAGAGCCUUUUGCAAACCCGGGUCAGCGUGGGAAAACCAGUUCCUCUGUAUGGGACUGAUUUAAUCUCUGUAAGAGGCUGAUCUUGGGGGGAAAAAAUACACGCCUUCUCACGUCAAACACAUAGGACACAUCAGCCCACAGCUGCUCCGGAGGCAUCUCAGGUUUUUCUCUCUGUGCGUCCCUCAGUAUCUUGGGAUGGUUAAGAGGUGUCUAGCUGGCUUGGUCCCCGAUGUAUCAGUCACCGCUGGGCUUGGUGCCACGAAGCUCUGGGUGUAAUCAAACAAUCUGCAGCUUAGUUGGGACAUCCUGCCUGCUUCGGGUGACUCAGAGCUCCUCAGCAGCUGGUUGGAGUUUUGUUUGUGGCAGUGCCGCCUGCUCACUCCACACCCCCAACUCCCUGUAAGCCGCUCCACAGGUGGCCCGACUUGUGGUGCAAAUACAAGUUUGUCAACUGUUGAUUUCUUUUCCCUCUGUGUGUGCGUGUGUGUUUAAACUUAUCUAAACAAAAUUAAGCUGUGGGGAGUCCAUUAAUAAAAGGUUUCUAUUACAAAAUUAUUGGCACUCUGCAAGGCGCUUUGGAGGAAGGCAGGAAGAUCGAUAUUACCUAGAAUAAAAUAGCAGGGCAGACAUGACUCAGGGGAAUUGGGCUCUUAAGUAUGAGAGGGAAUAUAGAUUUCUACCCCAGCAGUCAAUGUUUGAAUAUGAUGAAACAGCGUGUUAGAAGUCACGGUCGGGCAAUUAUUUGAAAGGUCUUGGGGAGACUCUAAAUGUGCUUUAAAAAAAGAAAAACAACCCCCCCCAAUAUCCCUCAGCUAAAGCUUCUCGGAAAUAAAGAGCAAGAUGAGAAACCAAAAAUGUAGAGCCUUUGAUGAAUUCGUGCAGAUAUCGAGGGCCAUAGAAGUGGUAAUCGAACUCUAUUUGCUUGUGGGGGAAGGAGUUGGGAGGGAACAAGGAGACCUGUCAUUUUGUAGAACAGGGAGGCUGUUGAGAAGCCAUUCCUCAUCUUUAAAACUCGUGCCUUCACUCUGCUCUUGGAAGCUUUGUGGAGACGGGUGGGGAGCACAGUGGAUUGUUACUCCGAGAGGAUCAAUUUAAUGGGAUGUAGUUUCCUCUCCAUCUCUGUCCUGCAAGCCAAUUAACCUUCUGGCUAGGGAAAUGCUGCUGGCAGCUUACAGGGCCAUUGCUGGAGCAGCGCCUGCCCUAGGUACCAUUUGCAAAUUGCUGAGAAAGGGAUUUCUGGAGGGCUCCAGGGAGGAGGGGAAGACUGUUCAGCUACAAAUAUGUCAGGACAUCAAUUCUAAGGACCGAGGAAUGGCUAUACAGAGGGCCGGCUGACUGUAUAAUGCUUAUAGCUGCUGACUUUAAUCUUUAACAGUAAAUAGUUGAAGGGAUCAUGCACCCAAGCUAGCUUUCCCCAAAGUGUAUUCAGAGGAGGGCUCGUGAAGUGUGGUGUUAUUUGGUGUUUAAGGGGGAAUAUUUUGGGGUUUAUUUUAAUGGAGGAGAGAUGUCCUAUGGUCUCAGCUAUUUGGGAAAUGUUUGGUUCAACAGAUUUCUUUAGUGCAUUCCUUCUCAGAGCCUUUAAUAAGCUAAAGUGAGUUAUGGAGCUUCAUUAUGAGCCCAUGCUAGGUGGCCCCCCUCAGAUUAUUUUGUUGGGGAAUUAUUUAUUCAAGGAUGAUAUUCUGGAUCAGGAAUUCUGAGAAAAAGUGUUUUGGAAAUAAUGGUCUAGGCGUUUGCUCUGCUUGCAGUCAACAAUGAGCCAUUUCCAUGCUGGUUCUAUCUUCAAGCUGGACAAACCCCUGUCUUCAUCCUUUGGUUGGGGUCCAAAAGCUUCCUACUGGGGCACAUUCCAGAGCAGUUUCCAUGACACCAGCCCUCCAUUCACUCAUUUAUUGAUAUACUCAUUCACCCAAGCUCGUCCUUGUUUGCUCUUGUGCUGCUGAUUCUGACUCUGAACACUUAUUUUUGUCCUCAGCCUUAGACCCCCAGGCCUGACUCCCAUCCAUGCAGAGUUGGAAACAUCUUGGUCCUUCUGGCAUUUUGACAUUCAGUGCUGCUGUAUAAUCUUGUGUAUGUUCUUUGGCUUUGCCUUCUCCUCUGAAUUCAUUGUCUGCAAUUGUCUUCAAGGUCAACACAAUAGGCCAGUGCAGCCCCCCAACUCUUGCUCAGUCUUCUCAGCUAGAAUCAGCUGAAACCCUGACCUCCUGCUCUUGAAAGCAUGGAUUUGAGUCCCGUUCAUUCUUGGAGCCUUUCCCAGUGUCUCAAAUACUCCCAGAGUCAGAAGGUUUUUGCUGUAGUGACCUAAAUAUUUCUUCCAAUUGAUGAGUCAGUUACUUCCUCUUAUUUUUCUGUAAGAGCAAUGGAGAGUGAAGGGGCAUCACGCAUGUCAGUGCUGGGGGCUUACUAAAGUGCCUUUCUUCUUUCUGGAAAAGGGUAGCUCCCAGCCAGGUGUAGCCUCUCAGAAGCACUCUGAGGACCCCCCCAAGGGUAGAAAGGAGCUAACAAAUUCUUCUCUGGCCCUAUCCUCACCUCCCCCAAUGGUUUCAUUUAAAUAGUGACAGCCCUCAGAAUCCCCAUCCUUGAGUGAACUUCAUUUCGAGACAUAGCACCAUGGACAUGUGUCCAUGGAGAUAGUCCCACUUGCAGGUCUAGGAGAUGUUGGCUCAGAUGUCUUCCUUUGGGGUUGACACAUUGCUUCCUCUGGAGACUCACAAGGUACAGUUCUCCCUGGUCUUUAUUCCACUUGUUUUAUGGAAGAAAAAUGUGGAAGAAAAAUUAUUGCUACCCAGAAGCUCGGGGUCAACAAAUAAAGGAACUGAAGGACUCAAGAUUCCCUCAUACUGCAUCCAUGGAGUCUGGAAGGGGUUAGACAGUCAUUAACCAAUAUUAGCCUCAUCUUAGAUCCAUUUUCUUUCACUUUCUUCAAAUGGCAUUCUUUAUCCCACCAACCAGUGGGAUCAAGCAGGAGCAUAUAAUAUGGGGAGCAUGUGCAUCUUUCUGUCUCCAAAAUUAAUAAGAAAAUAAGCAGUGGAAAGGGAGGGCAUGAAGAAAUUAUGUUUUCAGAUAGUUAAUUUACCCAAACUGCAACUUCUAUCCAUUUAUUAUAGACAUUUUGGAAAAAUACAAAGACAUAGAAGGAAAACUUGUCUAGAAAGAUAGGUGCUGAAAAUUUCACUCUGAUGUCAGCCACUCAAAUGGUUGUAUUUUUUUUUUCUUGAGUUACUGCUUGCUUUUUACCCACAAACAGAAUAGAUCUUUUUUUUACCGCCUUGGCUGUGCCAAGGGCAUGUGGAAGUUCUGGGACCAAGGAUCGAACCAGAGCCACAGCAGUGGCUUACCCUAUAGUGGUUAACACCAGAUCCUUAACUGCUAGGCCACCAGGGAAUUCCAUCAUAGUAGAUCUUGUAUCUAAUCAUAUCUCCAACUUUUCCCCCAUUUCUAGAAAACUCUGCCCUGUUUAUUCAUGGAGUAACAAACAAUUCAUUGACCACUGCUUAUGGAAUGCCUGCCAUGUGCCAGGAACUCUCUGAGGCCUUGUGGGUACAUCAGUGAGUAAACCAGACAUGGGGCUGCUGGUCAUACACACCAUUCCUAGGUGCUAUUGUCUGAUGGAUGUCAACAGGUAUUCAUACGACUUAUUGAGCAUACAGCUAGUCUUGUGUUAACAGUUUGCAGGAAAAUUUAAUUCCUUUCAUUCUGUAUGUGGAUCCUCUCAGAGUUUUUCCUUCUCCCCAUUCCACUGAGGAAGGCCAGGGAUCGAACCCUCAACCUCAUGGUUCCUAGUCGGAUUCGUUAACCACUGAGCUACGGCGGGAACUCAAUGUACCACAUCUUCUUGAUCCACUCCUCUGUCGAUGGACAUUUAGGUUGUUUCCAUGUCUUGGCUAUUGUAAAUAGUGCUGCAAUGAACAUUGGAGUACAUGUAUCUUUUUGAAUUAUGGUUUUCUCUGGACAGAUGCCCAGGAGUGGGAUUGCUGGAUCAAAUGGUAGUUCUAUUUUUAGUUUUCUGAGGAAUCUCCAUACUGAUUUCCAUAGCGGUUACACCAAUUUACAAUCCCACCAACAGUGUAAUAGUGUUCCUUUUUCUCCACACCCUCUGUAGCACUUAUUGUUUGUAGACUUUUGGAUGAUGGCCAUUCUGGCUGGUGUAAGGUGGUACCUCAUCGUGGUUUUGAUUUGCAUUUCUCUACUAAUGAGUGAUGUUGAACAUCUUUUCAUGUAUUUUUUGGCCAUCUGUAUGUCUUCUUUGGAGAACUAUCUGUUUCGCUCUUCUGCCCAUUUUUUGAUAGGGUUGUUUGUUUUUUUGGUAUUGAGUGGUAGGAGGUGUUUAUAAAUUUUUGAGAUGAAUCCCUUGUCAGUCGAUUCAUCUGCAAAGAUUUUCUCCCAUUCUGUGGGUUGUGUUUGUGUUUUGUUUAGGGUUUCCUUUGCUGUGCAGAAACUUUUAAGUUUGAUUAGGUCCCAUUUGUUUAUUUUUGUUUUUUACUGUCAUUACUCUGAGAGGUGGAUCUAAGAAGCUGUUGCUGCGGUUUGUGUCAGAGAGCGUUUGACCUAUGUUUUUCUCUAAUAAGAGUUUUAUAGUAUCUGGUCUUAUAUCUAGGUCUUUAAUCCAUUUUGUUGGAUAUGUUUUGACAUGGAUAUCACCCAUAAAAGCUCCCCUUGUGGCUGAAGUUGGUAGGAGGGGUGGAGGGGCGCUUGCUGUAGGCUUCCUGAUAGGAGGGACUGAUGCCUGCCCACUGGUGGGUGGAGCUGAUUCCUAUCCCUCUGGUAGGUGGGGCUUUGUCUCUGGGUGAGAUUAGAGGUGGCUCCGUGCCUGGGGGGUCUUUAGGCAGCCUGUUUACUGAGGGGCGGGGCUGUGAUCCCACCUGUAUUGUUUGACCUGGGGCUUCUCGGUGCUGAUGGGUGGGGCCAGAUUUUCCCAAAAUGGCCACCUCCAGAGAAACUCAUGCUGAUGAAUAUUCCCAAGAGCUUUGCUUUCAAUGUCCUUCCCUCACAACAAGCCACGUUCACCCCUGUUUUCCCAGGAUGUCCUCCAAGAACUGCAGUCAGUUCUGACCCACAUUCCUAUGGUCACUUUGCUUUGCCCUGGGACCCUGUGCAUGUGAAAGUCUGUGUGUGCCUUGUAAGAAUGGGGUCUCCAUUUCCCCCAGUCCGGUGGAGCUCCUGCACAUAAGCCCCACUGGCCUUCAAUGCCAGAUGCUCCGGGGGCGCUUUCUCUCAGUGCCAGAUCCCCAUGGAUCUGGGGGUUUAAUGUGGGGCUCAGAACUCUCACUCCUGUAGGUGAGUCUCUGUGAUACAGUGACUUUCCAGUCUGUGGGGCUUCCCACCUGGGAGGUAUGGGGUUGCUUAUGUCACGUAAUCACCCCUCCUACCUCUUGAUGUGGCCUCCUCUUUGUCUUCUGUAGUAGGAUAUCUUUUUUAAGGUUUCUGGUCCAUUUGGUUGAAGAUUGCUCAGCAUUUGGUUGUAAAUUUUGUUGUUUUUUUAAGAGAGAAGUUGAGCUCCAGUCCUUCUAUUCUGCCAUCUUAAUCCCAUAUCUCUUCUCAUCUUUUAUGGAGGCCUCUGUGCAUUGUCUCUCACACGUUAUUGUGGCCGGGGUCCCAGAGGAGCAAGAGAGAGAGCAGCAUGGUUGGAGGAGACAGAGGUGGGAACUAAGAAGGGGACAGGAGGGGCUGGCUGAGAUGGUGGGGAUCUGCCCCUUCUCCCUGAAGGGGUUGGAGGGAAAGUCAAAGAGGAGGAGCCCAGGUACCUGUGCUCCCAGCAACAGCAAAGGUCUUCAUGCCCACCUGCUCAAGAGAGCGCUGAGCAGCCAGACUCAAGAGACCAUGAAGACCUUGUUUGUGGAGUGAUGUCUGUGGGGUCCCUGAUGUUUCUCUGAUGUUUCAUGAUUCAUGAGGUCUUUGGAGCCUUUGCAGAACUGAUCUAGGCUACUCUGAUCACAU